UCAGGAUGAACGCUAGCGGGAGGCCUAACACAUGCAAGCCGAGCGGUAGAGAUUCUUCGGGAUCUUGAGAGCGGCGUACGGGUGCGGAACACGUGUGCAACCUGCCUUUAUCAGGGGGAUAGCCUUUCGAAAGGAAGAUUAAUACCCCAUAAUAUAUUGAAUGGCAUCAUUUGAUAUUGAAAACUCCGGUGGAUAGAGAUGGGCACGCGCAAGAUUAGAUAGUUGGUAGGGUAACGGCCUACCAAGUCAAUGAUCUUUAGGGGGCCUGAGAGGGUGAUCCCCCACACUGGUACUGAGACACGGACCAGACUCCUACGGGAGGCAGCAGUGAGGAAUAUUGGACAAUGGGUGAGAGCCUGAUCCAGCCAUCCCGCGUGAAGGACGACGGCCCUAUGGGUUGUAAACUUCUUUUGUAUAGGGAUAAACCUUUCCACGUGUGGAAAGCUGAAGGUACUAUACGAAUAAGCACCGGCUAACUCCGUGCCAGCAGCCGCGGUAAUACGGAGGGUGCAAGCGUUAUCCGGAUUUAUUGGGUUUAAAGGGUCCGUAGGCGGAUCUGUAAGUCAGUGGUGAAAUCUCAUAGCUUAACUAUGAAACUGCCAUUGAUACUGCAGGUCUUGAGUAAAGUAGAAGUGGCUGGAAUAAGUAGUGUAGCGGUGAAAUGCAUAGAUAUUACUUAGAACACCAAUUGCGAAGGCAGGUCACUAUGUUUAACUGACGCUGAUGCAC
rnacentral:rRNA from 1 species